rnacentral:lncRNA from 1 species
AUGACCUCAAGGACUGCAGAAUGUAGUGACUUUUCUGAAGACGACUGCAAAGAAGAUGGUGUUUGGGGCAUGAACCUCCUGAGUCACUGUUUUCCAAUGAGAUUGGAACACAUUGGUUCAUCCAACUAUCUUCAUGGUGAUAUCAUCCUCCGCUUCCUCAUUCACUUUGACCAUGGGACAAGGAAACUAAGACUCAGGAGCAAGACUCUCAAAUCCAAGGCCAGAACCCAAGCAUCCUGACCCCUAAUUAUCACAAGCACCGACUGGGCCAAGUUCCGAGGUAUCUCGAUCCCAAAGAAACAGGAGCUUGUGUUAAUAGAGAUACUCAGAGUUCCUCUUCAGAUUCCACCUUCAGGGGCUGGCCCCGUGGCCAAGUGGUUAAGUUUGCGAGCUCCACUGCGGGCGGCCCGGUGUUUCGUUGGUUCAAAUCCUGGGCGCGGACAUGGCAGUGCUCAUCAAGCCACGCUGAGGCAGCGUCCCACAUGCCACAACUAGAAGGACCCACAACGAAGACUAUACAACUAUGUACCAGGGGGCUUUGGGGAGAAAAAGGAAAAAAUAAAAUCUUUAAAAAAAAAAGAUUCCA